GAGUCUUCGGACUGCGGAAGAGUGGCGAACGGGUGAGGAACACGUAAGAAUCUGCCCCUCGGUCGGGGACAACUCUUGGAAACGAGAGCUAAUACCCGAUACGCUGUGGAGUGAAAGAAUUUCGCCGAGGGAUGAUCUUGCGUCUGAUUAGCUAGUUGGUGUGGUAACUGCACACCAAGGCGACGAUCAGUAGCUGGUCUGAGAGGAUGGACAGCCACAUUGGAACUGAGACACGGUCCAAACUCCUACGGGAGGCAGCAGUGGGGAAUUUUCCGCAAUGGACGAAAGUCUGACGGAGCGACGCUGCGUGAAGGAUGACGGCCCGCGGGUUGUAAACUUCUUUUCUCGAAGAAGAAACAAAUGACGGUAUUCGAGGAAUAAGCAUCGGCUAACUCCGUGCCAGCAGCCGCGGUAAGACGGAGGAUGCAAGUGUUAUUCGGAAUGAUUGGGCGUAAAGAGUCUGUAGGCUGUAUAGAAAGUCUUUUGUUAAAUUCCUCGGCU
rnacentral:rRNA from 1 species